UAUAAGCCAGAGAAUGGGGACCUGUGUGCGGAAGUCCCGUGACAAAGAAUGUAGAGAGGUGGGCGGCCCAAGGUGAUGCUUCACCCAUUUCUUCUCCCCAGGAGGGCCCAUGUGUGUUAGCAGGCUCCCCAGGCUGGGACGUCAGCUCUGACUCAUUCUCCCCGGGGAGAAGUUUAAUUAGCCUCCCAGCAGCCAGAAGCACCCCAGAUGAAAGGUGCUGAAUUCACUCUACUGGGCAACAAGGAUGUAAAGACUGGCCAUAACAACACAUGCGUGGUCCCUGUGCUCUGGAGGACUUCACACAGAGCGAAGCAUAGGACAUGAUUCGGGGAGAGCACUUGCACAGCAUUGUGCCCAGCCUCAGAAUCAGCAAGGGAGACACUGUAUGAAGGAGGGAGUGGAGGCAUGGACUUUCCCCCAGUAUCCAAGCUGAGGAGUGUGAGCGGCUGAGCCGAUCAGUGAGUGGAUGGACGGACCAGUCACUGGAUCAGUGGGUCACUGAGUGGAUAAGCUGCUUCAGUGAGUGGAGUCACCCAAAACAUGAGACUUUUCCAUGACUUUUCCAUGGCAACCUGAGCUCAAGAAGGGAGUCAGGAUACGGGGCAUCUGGGAGACGGGUCACAUCCAACAAGAGGCAGAAGCAGACCCUCAGUUUUCUUCCAGGGAAGAGCAAGCCUUCAGAGCCACUCCUGUGCCUACAGUCUCUCAGAACAGUAGCUCAAAAUAUGCCAGAGAAAUAUCUUCGGGAAUGGUUUAUUCUGGCCUCCUACCCUCCUGCUGUAAGUGAAGCGUCAUGACCACGGCGUCCUCUGCCAGGCGUGGUCUGGCACUGUCCCUCCCAGCUGUGAGUUGUUGGGACAUUCCCUAUCUUCCAGUGAGGUGACGAAGGAUCUGAAGGGGAAUAGAAGUGUGCAGAGCACAGAAGUCUGCUUGACGGGCCAUGCACUCCCUUGUGCCCUGGGGAUCUGCUUGAGCUGCCCAUCCUGGAGAAAACCUCUAGAGGGACAGAGGGACAGACACACAUUGCAAUCCAUCACUUUCCUGGGCUGGGUCCGAGGAAGCCAACCAAUGGCAAACACUCUGACCACCCCACCCUGGGGCAGAGGCUCAUUAGCUUCUGUUCUUGAACAAAGACUUUCUGGUAUCUAGCCUUCUUUCUGGAAUAUGCCACAGAGGACGGUUUAAGCUUGAGGCAAGGCAGUGCUGCAGAGACGUCUGUAGGGCAGGAUGCCUUAGGGCGUAGCAGGGCCCCGGGGAGGUGGCGUGCACCCUCUAGUGGCCACUUUCCACACAGGCGGAAGAGAACUCCUGUACCCACCUGAGUGAGGCGAGUCAGGCAAAGAACACUCUAUUGAACAGUAAAAAGAGCAGGGCACCCGGCACCACGGGAGUGUUAGAACAGCCAAGGCACAGGACCGCCGAAAGCAUCUCUAGCCAUGAAGCUCCCCAGCAGGGGAAGAUGAAGAAGCCUCACCAACAAGAGCGCUCCGGUGGCAGCCCCUGAUGGGCACCGUGGCCAGUCCUGGAGGUGCAAACUAGACCGUCCCGGGAGAGUGGGAGAGCCUGCCCAACUCACAGUCUGCGAAGCUCCGUGUGGCCUACAAAGACUCCUGGUUCACAACCAAGGCAAAAUACUGAAGUGACUACGACUCUAGAGGACACCCAGCGUUUGUCAGACGCCUGCACGUGGGCAUAAAUCACAGGCAGACAGGAGUCUUCAAGGACAGCUGGACCCGGCCACUGGCAGCCCCCAAUUAUAGAGACUCCAGAACGAAGCCGCUCAGUUACUUCCUUUGAAUUGCUUCCAUUCUCCAUGGUUUGUCUUAUCUUUCUUCUUUUUACUAUACUUCCAGCAGUAUUUUGACUUUUAUUCUUUUUAAAUUUUUUCUUUUAUAUUUAGUAUGUGUGUGUAUGCACACAUGUCAUGGCAGAGGUCACAGGGCAACUCAUGGGAGUUGUUUCUUUAAACCAUGUGUGUUCUAGGGAUCAGAUUCAGGCUGUGAAGUUUAAUGAGCACCUUUGCCUACAGAGCCAUCUCACCAGCUGAUUUUAUCUUAUUUUUAAGCUUUUAUUUUUUUAUUGUCCUUCUUAUAUUUAUCUAGUCUUGUUGAUAUACUUUAUCAGUGAGUAGUUCUUAUUUUAUUGUUAAAUUGUAUGUAUUUGUUUAAUGAAUAUGAAUAUUUUGCCCGUAUAUUGCAUCUGUGUGCAUGCGUGUCUGGUACCUACAGAGGUCAGAAGAGGGCAUCAGACCCCUGGGACUGGAGUUAGAGGGUUGUGAGCUGUAAAUGGGGGCUGCUUGUUCAUUUCCUGACUUCUCAGACCUGAAUAGUCACACAAAAACUACAUUAAUUACAACACUGUUUGGUCAAUAGCUUGGGUGUCUUUCUAGCUAGCUCUUACAUCUCAAAUUAACCCAUUCCUAUUAGUCUGUGUAUUGCCACUAGGCUGUGGCUUACCAAUGCCAGCAUAUUAUUCCUUUGGCAGCUACAUGGCAUUUCUCUGACUCUGCCUACUCUCUCUCUCUCUCUCUCUCUAUGUGUAUAUAUAUAUAUAUAUAUAUAUAUAUAUUUCUUCCAGCCUGGCUAUAUUCUGCCCUGCUAUAGGCCAAAGGAACUUCUUUAAUAAUCAAUGGUAAUAAAACAUCCUAAGAUACAGAGGGGAACCCCACGGCAGUGAGCCACCAUGUGGGAUCUAGGAAUCAAACCCUGGUCCUCAGCAAGAGCAGGCGGUGCUCUUUACUACCGAGCCAUCGCUCCAGCCCCCUUGGAAGGUCUUUUUUUUAAUCUCUUGCUUUUUUCCUCUCUCUCUUUAUAACAUUCUCCUCCACUCUUCCUCUUGCUUGCUUUUAUCAAACCCUGUCUCUACCCCUGUCCUUUGUUACAUUCAUUGGCUGUUCCUCGUUAGCUUGAUAGUAGUACACUCUCCUUUAUUUUGGCAGUCCGCGUGGUCACGGGUUGUAUAUUAUCAGACUGUAAUGGCUUUUAAAUGUAUUUCUUUAUCUUGGUUUGCUGUCGUUGUUAUAGCAGUUUAAUCAUCUCUGGGGGGUCCUGACCGAGGCUUCAUGAAUAGAGAGCUCUAUAAGGACAUCCCUGAACACAACCGGGAGGAACACCCAAACCAACAGAUGAACAAAUCGCAGCACAGAAAGCCAGGAGGUGGUGGCGCACGCCUUUAACCCCAGCACUCAGGAGGCAGAGGCAGGGGGGAUCUCUGAGUUUGAGGGCAGCCUGGUCUAUAGAAUGAGUUCAAGGACAAUCAGAGCUACACAGAGAAACCUUGCCUUGAAAAACCAAAGUAAACAAACAAAUAAAACCACAACACAGAAACACAAUAAACAUGAUGAAGUAGAGCGACAUGGCUUCUGCUCUAAAAGGCUGUAACUCCUCAAUUGCUGAACACAAAGAUACUAAAAUGAGUAACCUUCUUGGUAGAGACUUACAAUAUCUAAAAAGUGAUUAGUGAUUCAAAGAGGACAACACAACCAAGCAAACAAAUGAAGUAAGGAGAUCUAUUGUAUCUGUGUAUACAUGGUUACACUUAUACAUCAUACAUGCACACAAUAAUAAUAAAUAAAGUUUUAAAAACAAAAGCUAUAGGGGCUGGAGAGAUGGCUCAGUGGUUAAGAGCACAGGCUGCUCUUCCAGAGGUCCUGAGUUCAAUUCCCAGCAACCACAUGGUGGCUCACAACCAUCUGUAAUGGGAUCUGGCACCCUCCUCUGGUGCGCGGGCAUAUAUGGAGGCAGAAUGUUGUAUACAUAAUAAAUAAAAAUUAAAAAAAAAAUACAGCUCUGCUAAAAUAGCAGUAUUUAAAAAAAAAAAAGCUAUACAAUUAAAAUGGCAACUCACUUAUGAAAGUAAACACUUCCGAAUAGCAUCAGGAAGGGGCGAGGCCCAUGCAUUUCCACCCCUAGCUGAGGGGAUGUUCGUGUCAAUGGCUGCUCAGGGAGGGAGUCAGCUCUCCUAAGGAUGUGGUCCUAGAAGGUUAACCACACUCUGGUGAACAGCUCCACAUCUCUUAGUAUGUGGGUUAGCACAAACUGGCCUUGGUAGGGUUUUAUAUUUUUUAAGUUGGGAGCGUAUAAAGAAUGAGAUGUGGAUCCUGAAGGAAUUAAGGAGAGGGAUAGAGAGUGAAUAUCAUCAAAAUAUAUUGUAUGCAAAUAUUAAAUUAUCAAAGAAUUAGUGAAAGAAAAAAUAACACUAGACUUCUCAGCAGAAACCCUCAGCCAGGAAAGCAUGCAGUGGGAUAUUUCAAGACCUAAAAGUAAACAACCACCCACGAAGAUUGCUGUUUCUAGUAAAGUUAUGUUUUAAACUGACGGAGAAAUAAGAACAUUUCAAGACAGGCCCAAACAGAAAUGAGUCAUGAUCAUGAAGCCAACAUGGCAGAAGAUACGUCAGGGAACCUUAAACACAAAGAAGGAAUAAAGACAGCCUUGAUUAUGAAACACAAGAAAGGACAAAUUCUGUGAGAGGAACAGAUGAACACAGAGCUAUGGAAGAACCCAUCAUGCCCAACACAGCAACAGGCAAAGCCCUGAUAUGGAUAGGAGAGAUGGAAAAAUGAGCCUACGAUCCAACCAAUCAGAACACAGUCGACAAAAUUCAAGCAAUGUGCUAACCCCUGUCUGUAAUAAACCUAAAUGUAAAUGACUUUAACUCUCCAGUUAAGAGAUAUGCAAAUGAGAUUAGAGGUUUAAAAACAAUAACAAUUAUAACAACUUAUAAUAUAUAUAUAACAAUUAUAGCAGUAACAGAUAACAAUUCUGUUAUCUCUAAGAAAUACAUCUCCCUGGCAGAUGAAAGAGUUGCAAGGAUAGAAGUCAGUUUACCUAGUAAAUGGAAGGCAAAAAUGAUGGUGGAGCCGUUCUAUUGCCUGACAGAGUGCCAGCAAACCUAAUUAGUCUAAGAAGAUAAAGAAGGCCACUACCUAGCAACAAGAACUAUCAACACUAGGGCUCCAAGUUUCACAAAAGCAAACACCAGGUGGCAUAAAAGUGCCAAUAGAUCUUAAUAAUGGUGGGUGACCUUAAUUCUUCAUUCCCACCAAUAGGAUAGUCAUUCAGCCUAAAAGUCGAUGAAGAAAAUUCAGAAUGAAUCUGUGCCACACAUCAAAUGGGCUUAGUGGACAUUUAUAGAACAUCACAUCUAAUAGAGCAUUCCUUUCAACAGACCGUGGAACUGUCUCCAAGAUGGAGCACAUCCUAGCUGCAAAGCCACACUUAGUAAGUCUAAAAGCAUUGAAAUGAUUCCCAGAAUAAUCCAAUCUUUUCUUUAAUAUUUUAUUUAGAUGUAUUUUAUGUGCAUUGGUGUGAAGGUGUCAGAUCCCCUGGAACUGGAGUUAGAGACAGUUGUUAGAUGCCAUGGGGUACUGGGAAUUGAGCCUUGGUCCUCUGGAAGAACAAAGGGUGCUCUUAACCACUAAGCUAACUCUCCAGCCCAAAUAAUCCAAUCCUUUUUUUUUAAUAUAUUUAUUUAUUUAUUAUGUAUACAAUAUUCUGUCUGUUUUGCCUGAAGGCCAGAAGAGGGCACCAGACUUCAUUAAAGAUGGUUGUGAGCCACCAUGUGGUUGCUGGGAAUUGAACUCAGGACCUCUGGAAGAGCAGUCAAUGCUCUUAACUGCUGAGCCAUCUCUCCAGCCCCUCCAAUCUUAGUAAGUAAAAAAGAAAUUAAAAAACCAGGCAGUGGUGGCACAUGCUAUUAAUCCCAUCACUCAGGAGGCAGAGGCAGGCAGAUCUCUGUGAGUUCAAGGCCAGCCUGGUCUACAGAGCAAGUUCCAGGACAAACUCCAAACCUACAGAGAAACCCUGUCUCAAAAACAAACAAACAAACAAAAAACCCUAAAAUUUCCAAAAUGAAAAAAGUCAGUAGCAAAAGAAGUCAGAGAAACUAUACACUUGGAGAUUUAAUAUGCUCCUUCUUCUCCAGCCCCCUUCUUGUGUGUGUGUUUUUUUUUUU